GAUGAACGCUGGCGGCGUGCCUAAUACAUGCAAGUCGAGCGAACAGAUGAGGAGCUUGCUCCUCUGACGUUAGCGGCGGACGGGUGAGUAACACGUGGAUAACCUACCUAUAAGACUGGGAUAACUUCGGGAAACCGGAGCUAAUACCGGAUAAUAUAUUGAACCGCAUGGUUCAAUAGUGAAAGACGGUUUUGCUGUCACUUAUAGAUGGAUCCGCGCCGCAUUAGCUAGUUGGUAAGGUAACGGCUUACCAAGGCAACGAUGCGUAGCCGACCUGAGAGGGUGAUCGGCCACACUGGAACUGAGACACGGUCCAGACUCCUACGGGAGGCAGCAAUAGGGAAUCUUCCGCAAUGGGCGAAAGCCUGACGGAGCAACGCCGCGUGAGUGAUGAAGGUCUUCGGAUCGUAAAACUCUGUUAUUAGGGAAGAACAAAUGUGUAAGUAACUAUGCACGUCUUGACGGUACCUAAUUAGAAAGCCACGGCUAACUACGU
rnacentral:rRNA from 1 species